UAGAGGUGAUGGAGGUGCUCGCCAUGAGGUCCGUGGCGGUCGUCUGGAGGUGCUCGUCUGGAGGUCCGUGGCGGUCGUCUGGAGGUGCUCACCUGGAGGUCCAUGGCGGUCGUCUGGAGGUGCUCGUCUGGAGGUCCGUGGCGGUCGUCUGGAGGUGCUCGCCGUGGCGGUCGUCUGGAGGUGCUCGUCUGGAGGUCCGUGGCGGUCGUCUGGAGGUGCUCGCCGUGAGGGCCGUGGCGGUCGUCUGGAGGCGCUCGCUGCAGGUGGAGGGAAGGCCGAGAGCCGUGCAGCCCAAGGGAUGCAGAACGAAGGACUGAGGCGGAGGCCAGCCUGGAGGCGGAGGCCAGCCUGGAAGUCCUGGAUGCGUCCAACCUGGAAGGGGCAGCAUGGAGGGGCCAGGUGGCGGCUCCUCAUCCAAAGGGCCCAGAGGCGGCCAACCUGGAAGGCCUGGAGACGGCGGAGGUCCUGGAGGCGGAGGCCAACCUGGAGGUCCUGGAGGCGGUGGGCCUGGAGGCGGCGGCGGCAGCGGCCAUCCUGGAGGCGGACUACCUGGAGGUCCUGGAGGCGGAUUGUGGAGACCAUCCUGGAGGGCCUGGAGGUGGCGUCCACAUGGUGGCGGCCGGCCUGGAGGCGGUGGCCAACCUGGAGGUCCUGGAGGCGGUGGGCCUGGAGGCGGCGGCGGCAGCGGCCAUCCUGGAGGCGGACUACCUGGAGGUCCUGGAGGCGGAUUGUGGAGACCAUCCUGGAGGUCCUGGAGGUGGCGUCCACAUGGUGGUGGCCGGCCUGGAGGCGGUGGCCAACCUGGAAGUCCUGGAGGCGGUGGGCCUGGAGGCGGCGGCAGCGGCCAUCCUGGAGGCGGACUACCUGGAGGUCCUGGAGGCGGAUUGUGGAGACCAUCCUGGAGGGCCCGGCGGCGGCGUCCUGGAGGGCCCGGAGGCGGAGGCUCCUCAUCCAAAGAAAUGAGGCGACGUUGCGGAGGUCCAGGCGGUUGGCCCGGUGGAGGUCCUGGAGGAGACGGCCUGGAGGUGGAGGACGGCUGGGGGAUCCGGCGGUGGAGGUCCGAAGGCAGCUCGUGUUUAGACCAACCAGCUCCUCAUCCAUGGAAGGAUUGAAGGAGUCACUGGGGAUGAAGAUCACUGCUCAGGGGCUGACGACCCCCCCCCCCCCCCUCCUCAUCUUUCUGGAGAAGCGUCCUCAUGGUGCAGGCGGUCAAACCUCCACCUCUUUGAAGAGACCAAGCAGCUUGAUGACUGACUGGUUCCUUAUACUCAGGACCUCGAGCAGAGGAUAGACCUAAGGCCUACAGCGCAGCAGACUAGAGACUCCAUGUGGAACCGGUUCAAUUAAGUUGACCUCUCCUUCAGGCGACUUAAAGGGAGACCAGAUGUGCGGCAGCUGGGUGUCAUGGUGCAGAGACCCAACGCUGGUAAAUAUUUACUUCCUCCUUGAACAGACCUAACACGUCAAACGGCAAUUAUAUAAUCCCUCCUGAUCUUUAUAAAGGUCUGAAGACCAGUCUUUUCUGUGAACAUCUCCACUGAUGAGUGUGCUCUUAAUUAAAUUAAAGUUAAUUAAAUGCAGUAACUCCAAUGCACCUGGAGGCUCGUAUUGACAUUUUUUGAAACCUGGUUCUCCAGCACUAGGACUGUUGCGGUAAAUAAAUGUUUUUUUGCUAAUUUAAGUCUAUGAAAUCAAAUGCUGAUUGAGACCAGAUGGGGCUGUUCCUGCAUUUAUAGACAUUUCAUUGCCCUUGAAACUGAUUCUACUUUUUGCAUCAAUUUACUUCACAGUACUGAACUACACCAGUGUGUCCUACUCCCCAUAAACCCUGAGGAUCCCUGGCUACACCAGCACAUUAAUCCACACCCAACAUUAACACACAGUGCACACUCUAUAGAGCUUGUAAGUCCGCCCCUUGCGGCGGGACCUCGUGAGAUCGUAAAAUAUGACUGGGUUUCAAUGGAGAGAAAGUAAAUAUUUUCUCCAUUAUGUUGCACCACAUUUUGGGGGAAGAAUGUUUGAAUCAAUCUUUGUCAUUUAUUUCUGUACUCCAUAUCUGUAAUCCCAGCUGUUGUAUUUUAACACGGUAGCUGGGAACCCUCUUUAUAGGGAGCGACUAGAGGGACGAGGCUGGAAGCAAACCUGAGCCUGGAUCUUAACCUUCUUUCUAAACCUAAUGCCGCAAUUUAACCUCAAAUAAAGUGAGGCCUAAAGUAACUUGACUCUCUUGCCUAAACUCGCUUGCAUAAAACCUGAACUUGCUUGGCUAAACUCGCUUGCCUAAUACCUGAACUUGCUUGCCUAAACUCGCUUGCCUAAUACCUGAACUCGCUUGCCCAAUACCUGAACUUGCUUGCGUAAACUCGCUUGCCUAAUACCUAAACUCGCUUGCCUAAACUCGCUUGCCUAAACUCGCUUGCCUAAACUCGCUUGCCUAAACUCGCUUGCCUAAUACCUGAACUUGCUUGCCUAAACUCGCUUGCCUAAUACCUAAACUCGCUUGCCUAAACUCGCUUGCCUAAUACCUGAACUUGCUUGCCUAAACUCGCUUGCCUAAUACCUGAACUCGCUUGCCUAAUACCUGAACUUGCUUGCGUAAACUCGCUUGCCUAAUACCUAUUACUCGCUUGCCUAAUACCUGAACUCGCUUGCCUAAACUCGCUUGCCUAAUACCUGAACUUGCUUGCAUAAAACCUAACGUGCUUAGCUUGACUCGCUUGCCUGUACUCGCUUGGCUAAACUCGCUUGCCUAAUACCUGUAGUCCCUUGCCUAAAACCUAAACUUGCUUGUCCAAACACGUUACACAAAGUUAACCAUCCAUAAUCUUUAACCCAAACCAGACUUGUCCCUGGGUCGCUCCACUUUAAUUAAGAAGUUUCUUCUUUUACCUCAUCUGCGUUUUGAGUUUCAUUCUUUGAGGGCUUGAAGUGCUUUGGAGGAUAUUUGAACCUUUGUUCGCCAAAUGUUCAGUGUCCUUGAAUGUAAUGUCUAUGGUCUGACGAUAAUCUGACCUCUUCAUGAAGCAGAAUGUGUGUGAAUGUUGUCCCGUGAGCUCCAGGCUCUCUGUGGGCCUGUCAACGUCUCUUUAGCAAAAGGUUGGAGAGUGAAAUUCAUUUUUGUGCCAUUUUCAUGUGUUCCUGAGUAUUUCAGACCUGUGGUGUUUCACAUGAGACCUUAAUGGGAACAUUUCUUUUUCUGCCUGCAUACGUAAUGCCUACAUUAGUAGGGUGAUCACUGUUGAUCCCAAUAUUGUUCAUUAACCACCUCAUUCUUGUAUGAUUUUUUUCGAUAAGGAUUACAAAUCAUGUAAUUUGAGCAUAUUUGCAAAUGGCUCCAAAUAUCAGAUUGUGUAAACGAAUGAAAUGUAACCUGCUUGAUUUAAAGAAAAUAAAACAUCCAAAUAUUAUAAACCUGUUUUGUGUUGCUCUCUUACAUGUGGAAAUAAAACGCAGAUAGAUAUGUUUAGCUCUGAUUUGCUGCCUCCUUUUGGUGUGGUGCUGGGAUUUGUUUAAUAUACUAUUAUCAUUGCCAGGAUAAGUUAAUAACCUAGUAUAGCCUACCCGGAAAAGAAGGGAUAUGAUGGCCAGGGCAGGCUGUUUCGGUGUCCUGUUAACAUAUUGUGAGCGGAUUUGUGAACAUUCUCGGUGAAGGAAAUUCAAUUGCAAACGUUAAUCAACAUGCAGGACCAUUCAGCGAACACUUCACAUAUUUCUC
ensembl:lncRNA